GUGCCAGCAGCCGCGGUAAUACAGAGGGUGCGAGCGUUAAUCGGAUUUACUGGGCGUAAAGCGUGCGUAGGCGGCUUUUUAAGUCGGAUGUGAAAUCCCUGAGCUUAACUUAGGAAUUGCAUUCGAUACUGGGAAGCUAGAGUAUGGGAGAGGAUGGUAGAAUUCCAGGUGUAGCGGUGAAAUGCGUAGAGAUCUGGAGGAAUACCGAUGGCGAAGGCAGCCAUCUGGCCUAAUACUGACGCUGAGGUACGAAAGCAUGGGGAGCAAACAGGAUUAGAUACCCUGGUAGUCC
rnacentral:rRNA from 1 species